rnacentral:rRNA from 1 species
GACGAACGCUGGCGGCGUGCCUAAUACAUGCAAGUCGAGCGCAGGAAAUCGACGGAACCCUUCGGGGGGAAGUCGAUGGAAUGAGCGGCGGACGGGUGAGUAACACGUAAAGAACCUGCCCUCAGGUCUGGGAUAACCACGAGAAAUCGGGGCUAAUACCGGAUGGGUCAUCGGACCGCAUGGUCCGAGGAUGAAAGGCGCUUCGGCGUCGCCUGGGGAUGGCUUUGCGGUGCAUUAGCUAGUUGGUGGGGUAAUGGCCCACCAAGGCGAGGAUGCAUAGCCGACCUGAGAGGGUGAUCGGCCACACUGGGACUGAGACACGGCCCAGACUCCUACGGGAGGCAGCAGUAGGGAAUCUUCAACAAUGGACGAAAGUCUGAUGGAGCAACGCCGCGUGAACGAUGAAGGCCUUCGGGUCGUAAAGUUCUGUUGUAAGGGAAGAACAAGUGCCGCAGGCAAUGGCGGCACCUUGACGGUACCUUGCGAGAAAGCCACGGCUAACUACGUGCCAGCCGCCGCAGUAACAC